CUCAGUCAUUGCUUCAAAUAUUUAUUUUGUUCCUUUCUUCUCUUGGUAUGCCUAUUAUCUACAUGUUACACCGUUUGGACUUGCCCCACAGUUCUUGCACAUUUUGUUCCUUUGUGUGCGUGUGUGUCUGUUUUUUCUUUGCUUUUCAGUUUUGGAAGUUGCUAUUGACGUGUCCUCCAGCUCAGCAAUUCUUUCCUCAGCUUAGCGAUUCUCUCCUUCAAUCCAGUCUGCUAGUGAGCCCAUCAAAGGCAUUCUUUGUUAGCUUUUUCUUAAUCUCUAGCAUUUCUUUUUGAUACGCUCUUAGACUUCACCUCUCUGCUUAACAUUACCCAUCUGUUCUUGCAUGUUGUCUACUUUUUCCACUAGAGUCCUUAGCGUAUUAGUCAUAGUUGUUUUAAAUUCAUGGUCUGAUAAUUCCAACAUCGCUGCUAUAUCCCAGUCUGGUUCUGAUGCUUGCUCUGUCUUCAAACUGUUUUUUGUAUGCUUCGUACUUUUUUAUUAACAGCUGGAUAUGAUGUACAGUAAAAGGAACUCUGAAGCACGAGAGAUCUUCAUGGUGAAAUCUUCACUCUGAUCUUCACGGUGAGAACCUGGGAGAGCUCCUAGAGGUAAAACUCACAAAGUGUGGGGACCCUCUUAUGACUGGGUGUUUGUAGAAUUAUUAACUCACACACUUACCCAAACUGAACCUCUGGGCAAUUCAUCAAUUACAAUUCAGAUUCCUCUGUCCCAGUACUGGUUCCCAUGGAGGUGUAUGCCCAGUGAUUUCUGCUCCGGUAAGUUGUGAUUCUGUGUCACCUGUCUGUCUCCAAUUUGGGAGGCAGUGGUUUGCCCUGUGACCAUUUCUCCCACAGCUCUACUGCUUUUUCUUUUUUUUUUUUUCAGACGAAAUUUUGCUCUUGUUGCCCAGGCUGGAGCGCAAUGGCAUGAUCUUAGCUCACUGCAACCUCCGCCUCCCGGGUUCAAGCGAUUCUCCUGCCUCAGCCUCCCGAGCAGCUGGGACUACAGGCACCUGCCAACAUGCCCAGCUAAUAUUUGUAUAUUUAGUAGAGAUGGGGUUUCACCAUGUUGACCAGGCUUAUCUUGAACUCCUGACCUCAGGUGAUCCACCCGCCUCGGCCUCCCAAAGUGCUGGGAUUACAGGUGUGAGCCACCGCGCCCUGACAGCUCUACUUAGGACAAAGUGAUGACCUCAAAACUCCUUACAUGCUGACUGGAAAUCUUAUUUACCCCCCUCAAGAUCCUCAGUCAUAUCUGCAAAGUCUCUGCCAAGUCAGGUAAAAUUUGCAGGUUCCAGGGAUUUGAAUGUGGACAUUUUUGGGGGCACUGUUACUCAGCCUAACCACAGGAUGUCUGGGUGAUUUUCAGUCUUUCAAUUGUUAUUACGAAUGAUGCUGUUGUAAACACUGUUGAAUAUGUUUGAUGGAAAACGUGUUUUCAUUUCUGUUGGGUGUUUAUGCAGGAGUGGAUUAUUGGGUCCAUAGGUUAUAUAUGUUUUCAACCUUAGCAGAUAAAGCCAAAGUUUUUCCAAAGUGGUUUUAAGAAUUCCCAUUCUUGGGGGGAAAUAUUUGCAAUCAUAGAUCUGAGAAAGGCCCAGUAUCCAGAAUAUAUAAAGAACUCUUACAAUUCAAUAACAAGAUAGCCCAAUUUAAAGAUGGGCAAGGGAUUUGAAGAGGCACUUCUCCAAAGAAGUUAUAAAAAUGCAAAAUAAGCGUAUGAAAAGAUACUUAACAUCUUUAGUUAUUGGGAAUAUGAAAAUAAAAACCACAAUAAGAUACCACUUCACAACCACUAGGAUGGCUAAAAUAAUAAGUGUUGGUGAGGACUUGAAGAAACUGGAACCCCCAUCCAUUGCUGGUGGGAGUGUAAAGUGGUGCAACUGCUUUGGGAAACAGUUUAGUGGUUCUUCAUAAGGUUAAAUGUUACCAUAUGACCCAGCCAUUCCAUGUCAAGGUUUAUACUAAUCACAAAUGAGAACAUAUGUCCUCACAGAAACUUGUAUACAAAUGUGUACAGCAGCAUUAUUCAUAAUAGCCAAAAGGCAGAAGCAACCCAAACAUCUAUCAACAGACAGACAGAUAAAUGAAAUGACAUAUCCAUACAAUAAAAUAUUAUUCAGCCAUGAAAAGAAAUGGAGUGUUGAUGUAUGCUACAACAUGAAUGAACCCUGAAAACAUGUUAAGUCAAAGAAGCUAGUCACAAAAAGCCAUAUUGUGUGAUUUCAUUUAUGUGAAAUAUCUAGAACAGCAAAUCUGCUGAGACAGAAAGUAGAUUAGUGGGUUGCUAGAAGGUAGAGGAAGGAGGAAAUGAGGAGUGGCUGCUAGUGGGGUUUAUUUGGGGGGUAAGGAAAGUACUCUAGAAUUACAUAGUGGUGGUAGUCGCACAAUCUUGUGAAUAUACUAAAAACUACUGACUUGUACACUUCAAAAGGGUGAAUUUUGGGCCAGGCGCUGU
rnacentral:lncRNA from 1 species